rnacentral:piRNA from 1 species
UGGAAUGGAAUUAUGUUAGUCACGUGAUA